CAGAAAAGGGAAGAACGCCUCAGAUGGCUAAGCUUACAACUUCCUAAACACAGUAGGAGUGUUCACUUCCCAAAGAGUUACAGCAUAGUGAAACUUCAAGCACUAGUUUUUUUUGGACCAUCCCAGUGCACAUGAAUCAGGAGGCAGAUUACAGAAAUCGUUAAGUCCAGAGACAAUGAAAAACAAUUCCAGUCUCACGCGCAUCAUGGAUGAAUUCCCCAGACAUAACGUUGAGCAAGAAAAGGGAGAUGCAAAAGAGUACGUACUGAGUAAUUCCAUAUUUGUGAAACUCAAA